GUGGGGAAUUUUGGACAAUGGGCGAAAGCCUGAUCCAGCAAUGCCGCGUGUGUGAAGAAGGCCUUCGGGUUGUAAAGCACUUUUGUCCGGAAAGAAAACCUCUGGGUUAAUACCCUGGGGGGAUGACGGUACCGGAAGAAUAAGCACCGGCUAACUACGUGCCAGCAGCCGCGGUAAUACGUAGGGUGCGAGCGUUAAUCGGAAUUACUGGGCGUAAAGCGUGCGCAGGCGGUUUGUUAAGACAGAUGUGAAAUCCCCGGGCUCAACCUGGGAACUGCAUUUGUGACUGGCAGGCUAGAGUAUGGCAGAGGGGGGUAGAAUUCCACGUGUAGCAGUGAAAUGCGUAGAGAUGUGGAGGAAUACCGAUGGCGAAGGCAGCCCCCUGGGCCAAUACUGACGCUCAUGCACGAAAGCGUGGGGAGCAAACAGGAUUAGAUACCCUUGUAGUCC
rnacentral:rRNA from 1 species